GACGAACGCUGGCGGCGUGCUUAACACAUGCAAGUCGAACGGAAAGGCCCUGCUUUUGUGGGGUGCUCGAGUGGCGAACGGGUGAGUAACACGUGAGUAACCUGCCCUUGACUUUGGGAUAACUUCAGGAAACUGGGGCUAAUACCGGAUAGGAGCUCCUGCUGCAUGGUGGGGGUUGGAAAGUUUCGGCGGUUGGGGAUGGACUCGCGGCUUAUCAGCUUGUUGGUGGGGUAGUGGCUUACCAAGGCUUUGACGGGUAGCCGGCCUGAGAGGGUGACCGGCCCGAUGGGGGCGGCAAGCAGCCCAGGCGGGCGAGGGGGGGCAGCAGGGGGUAAGAUGGAAGAAGGGGGGGAGUCCGGGGGCAGCAGCGGGGGGGGGGGGGUGAGGGCCUCCGGGUUGACAGCAGCUUGCGGUGGGGAAGAAGCGGGGGGGAGGGUAAGAGAGAAAGAAGCAACGGCUAACUCCGUGCGAGGAGCGGAUGACAGGGGCGGUAGCACAAGUCUGAAU
rnacentral:rRNA from 1 species